rnacentral:lncRNA from 1 species
GACUGAUGUAUAUCAUAUUACUAGGAUAUACUUUUGUACUUAAUGAGCACUUAUAUUGCCAUUCAUGUUUUAUGUGUCCAUGAAUCAUCCAAAGGAUUAACAAGAUGAUGACACAUAUUUUUAAAGAGCUAAAAAUUUGAGACAUGUGUUAUUGAUGAUUAAUUUUUAAAUUACUCCUGAUCAUAGGAUCAUUAUGGGGAUGGUGAUUAAUCCAGAU